GCGGGGGUGGCUGAGCUUGGUCAAAGGCGCGAGGUUGAGGGCCUCGUCUCGUAGGAGUUCGAGGGUUCAAAUCCCUUCCCCCGCACCA
rnacentral:tRNA from 1 species